GCUUAAAGUAGUCAGGGCCUCACCAUUUGUUUGAGUCUUGGAAGUACCCAGCAUUUCCAAGAGCCGUAACUGCGUCAUGAAUUUGUUGAUGUCCCAAUUUCCCUUUGUACAAUCAGGGCAUAUGGAUGUCACAUCCCCACUACUCAUGCAGUGAUUUCCUGGGGAGUACAGCACCGAGGUAAUCACCACCGAGGAAAGCGAAAGCAAAAGACGGAGUCAUGGGUUUCAGCCAUAGUCUCGGUUUCACUGGAGCUGUGUCAAGCAGCGAGAUUGUGACCGUGGCCUGUGCCAGCAAGAGAGCCGG
rnacentral:lncRNA from 1 species